AGAGCUUUCAAUUCCAAUACUUUUAUACAAACAGUCCCAUUUCUCUUGAGAAAUUAAUCAUUCAGUUUUCACCUCUAUCGAGGAAUUAUACCAUUAUCAUUACAGAAAAGCUGUGGAUCCAGAAAAACAGUUCAGGAAAUUUACCCAGAAUGACAGUGGAUUGUGUAGAUUCAAUAUUGUAUAAUGCGAUCCAGCUUUGAAAUGUGUCUCAACCAUUGCAUGCUCUUUCUGGUUAUUGUUCCUAACAUUAUUCAAUAGAUAUAUAUCACUCGUUAAAGAGUAAAUCUAAGUGCACAGAUGAUUUUCACAGAAUAGGACCCAGAUGUGAAACGAAGGACAGGUCCCAUUAUGUAAAAAUCUUCUGUGUUCAUAGCGCUGCUGCUCACUAAAAAUUGUUCGUUUUUUUGUUUUGUUUUGUUUUUUUUUCACAUGUAACAGAAGAUGUGUUCUUUCUCAAUUCAAACUGCAACUCCUAAUUUUGUCCUCCUUUUAUUUCCUUCUAUAGCUUACUCAUCCAGGGCAGAGGGCCUUUGAACGCAGCUUCUCAAGGUUCAAGAUAAUGUUGCUAUUUGCACUUUGAUGAUUUCACAACACAUGGCUCUCAAUUGCUUAGAAGCAGGACGUGAAUGGGUCAGAAGUCAAGUCAAAAGCCUUGCCAGAAACAAAGAACUCCUUGGUGAGGCCCUUUCACCUCUUUGAAGUUGUUUGCUGGUUUGCACGGAGACAUGGUGUGCUGCUGCUUCCAGGAUUUGCGUGCGGCACAAGUGGGUGUAUCCGGAUCACCUAUGGAAUGUUGACAGAAUCAGAAUGCAAUGUUGCUGCAAAGAGACACGAGAGGGGUGGAAGAGCUCAUCAGAGAGGGCAUGGUGGAGAAUGAGUGUUUCUCGGAUUCUGGACAGCCAAACAUUCUCUUAACAUACCAGGAUUCUUGUUAGGUGAUGUUCAGUUGGCUUUUGAAGUACUUCCGCAACAUAACUAAUAUAACUAAUGUUGUCAAAUUCAGGGAAAUGAUUACUGAUUUAAGUAUGUACACUUGGAUGGAUACAACUAGGGCAGUGAGUGACCCAGAAUGUUUCAACAGUCAUCUUUGUAUCUAUUUUACCAGAUAUUAUAACAGAAAUUUGUGUUUCUUGUCUUUGUUGAAGUGCUUGAUGGCCUUGUAUGAAACCGUUCGCUGAUAAAGUUUGAUCUUUCAGUUUUCUUACAA